CCAACUCAGUCUUGACCUGGAGCUCAUUUGGGGGCUUGAACCCCGACAAUUAGGAGCCUGGGGGCGUGGCCAUGCUGGGUCCCGGCCUGAGCUCCGCGUGGCGCUUAGACGUUCCCGAACCUUAUGAGAGCGGGGAACGGACGAACAGGUGCUCGCCCUCAGCUCCUCAUCCCGGUAGGGCCUCAACUCACCUCGGCCCAGUGCCGUUGUCCCCUGCGCGUUUUCGGUGUGUGACACGGGCCGCUGGAUACGUGGAGCCACCUGGCUGUAGAUCGGGGUGUCCGUGCUGUUGGGCGCCCGCGUCCCCGGCCCUGUGCCUGCCGGAGCGCCACGCUUCUGCACCACAGCGUCGCUGUUUCCGCAUCUCCAGGACCACUUCAAAGAGGCUGAAAUUGGGCGGGAUUGUCUGCGAUACAGAGGGGAAGUGUGAAUAGGCCCUGGUAGGCAGGCAUGGGACGCACUGCCCUCAGAGAAGAGGUCGUCGUCGUCGUCAUACCUGAGUCAGAAGCAACUGCCUCACGUAAUCAACAGCACACAAGACACCUGUUCGUCCACAGCCAGCACUGACAAUCGAGAAUCAGAACAGACACCAUCAUAGCCUACCCACAAUGCCCCUUUCCCCGUUUUUCCAUUCUCUCCCUCCUCCCUUUCCCACAGAUCUUGCUGUGUUACCCAGGCUGGCCUCUGACUUCAGGUUCCUAAGUGCUGGGAUGUCAGGACUGCCUAACCCUGCAGAUACCACAACCCCUUCUGAGAUGAGCUGAGGGAGAUCAGUACUUAGUAAAUUGCAGGGUCCCUAGACUAUAAUCUUAAAUAAAACCUUUUGAUUUUAUGUGUA
rnacentral:lncRNA from 1 species